rnacentral:misc_RNA from 1 species
GAUGAAGAACGCAGCGAAAUGCGAUAAGUAGUGUGAAUUGCAGAAUUUAGUGAAUCAUCGAAUCUUUGAACGCACAUUGCGCCCUAUAGUAUUCUGUAGGGCAUGCCUGUUCGAGCGUUAUUGAGACCUCAAGCUCUGCUUGGAAAUGGGCGCUUGUCUUGCCUUGCAGACUCGCCUUAAAACCAUUGGCAGCUGAUUUACAAUGUUUGGUGCACAGUACAUGAGCCCAAGUGUUGCAAUGAGUGGCCCAAAAGUAUACAAUAGAAGCUUAACCUCGGAUCAGGUAGGGAUAGCCGCUGAACUUAAGCAUAUCAAUAAGCGGAGGA